UUCACGGUAUUGCAAUGAGAACAAUUUAAAACCCUUAGCGAGAAUCAAGUGGAGGACAAGUCUGGUGCCAGCACCCGCGGUAAUUCCAGCUCCACUAGCGUAUAUUAAAGUUGUUGCAGUUAAAAAGCUCGUAGUUGAACCUCUGUCUGGGGCUAGUUUUGGCUUUGGUCAGGCUAGUUCUAGGCAUCCGCCUACAAGACUUAGAGGGCAUUCAGUUGUUCACUAGGAGGAGUAGGCAUUUUACUUUGAAAAAAUUAGAGUGUUUAAGGCAGGCAAUCGCCCGCAUAUAUUAGCAUGGAAUAAUAGAAUAGGACACUUUUCCAUUUCGUUGGUUAUUGGAAUCGUGUAAUGAUUAAUAGGGACAGUUGUGGGCAUUUGUAUUUAAUUGUCAGAGGUGAAAUUCUUGGAUUUAUUAAAGACAAACUAACGCGAAAGCAUUUGCCAAGGAUGUUUUCAUUAAUCAAGAACGAAAGUUAGGGGAUCAAAGACGAUCAGAUACCGUCCUAGUCUUAACUAUAAACUAUUCCGACUCAAUGUUUGACUGGCUUAUAUAACCAGUUGAGCGUUGUAUGAGAAAUCAAAGUCUUUAGGUUCUGGGGGGAGUAUGGUUGCAAAGCUGAAACUUAAAGGAAUUGACGGAAGAGCACAACCAGGAGUGGAUUCUGCGGCUUAAUUUGACUCAACACGGGGAAACUUACCAGGUUAAAACAAUAGUGGGAUUGACAGUUUGAGAGCGCUUUCUUGAUUGGUUGGGUGGUGGUGCAUGGCCGUUCUUAGUUGGUGGAGUGAUUUGUCUGCUUAAUUGCGUUAACGAACGAGACCUUAACCUGCUUACUAGACUGGCGAUCAUCAAUCGUUAGCUCUUCUUAGAGGGACUUUGGUUGUUUUAACUCCAAGGAAGUUUGAGGCAAUAACAGGUCUGUGAUGCCCUUAGAUAUCCUGGGCCGCACGCGUCAUACAAUGACUAGUUCAGAAAGUUUUCUCCUGACCCGAAAGGGGAUGGGUAAUCUUGAUAAUACUAGUCGUGUUAGGGAUCGAUCUUUGCAAUUAUAGAUCUUGAACGAGGAAUUCCUAGUAAGUGCGGUUCAUCAGACCGUACUGAUUACGUCCCUGCUCUUUGUACACACCGCCCGUCGCUUCUACCGAGUGGGUGGUCCGGUGAGAUAAUUGAACUUCGCAGGUAACUGAGAGGAAAGAUUAUCAAACCUAUCCACCU
rnacentral:rRNA from 1 species